AUCAUGGCUCAGGAUGAACGCUAGCUACAGGCUUAACACAUGCAAGUCGAGGGGCAGCAUUAUCGAAGCUUGCUUUGAUAGAUGGCGACCGGCGCACGGGUGAGUAACGCGUAUCCAACCUUCCCAUCACUCAGGGAUAGCCCGCCGAAAGGCGAAUUAAUACCUGAUGGUCUCCUUUGCAGACAUCUAACGAGGAGUAAAGAUUCAUUGGUGAUGGAUGGGGAUGCGUCUGAUUAGGUAGUAGGCGGGGUAACGGCCCACCUAGCCGACGAUCAGUAGGGGUUCUGAGAGGAAGGUCCCCCACAUUGGAACUGAGACACGGUCCAAACUCCUACGGGAGGCAGCAGUGAGGAAUAUUGGUCAAUGGACGGAAGUCUGAACCAGCCAAGUAGCGUGCAGGAUGACGGCCCUAUGGGUUGUAAACUGCUUUUGUGCGGGAAUAAAGUAUGGGACGUGUCCCAUUUUGCAUGUACCGCACGAAUAAGGACCGGCUAAUUCCGUGCCAGCCGCUGC
rnacentral:rRNA from 1 species